rnacentral:rRNA from 1 species
UUAGUGGCAGACGGGUGAGUAAUGCAUAGGAAUCUACCUAGUAGUACGGGAUAGCCACUAGAAAUGGUGGGUAAUACUGUAUAAUCCCUGCGGGGGAAAGAUUUAUCGCUAUUAGAUGAGCCUAUGUUAGAUUAGCUAGUUGGUAGGGUAAAGGCCUACCAAGGCAGUGAUCUAUAGCUGGUCUGAGAGGAUGAUCAGCCACACUGGAACUGAGAUACGGUCCAGACUCCUACGGGAGGCAGCAGUGGGGAAUAUUGGACAAUGGGCGCAAGCCUGAUCCAGCUAUGCCGCGUGAGUGAGGAAGGCCUUAGGGUUGUAAAACUCUUUCAGUGGGGAGGAUAAUGACGGUACCCACAGAAGAAGUCCCGGCAAACUCCGUGCCAGCAGCCGCGGUAAUACGGAGGGGGCAAGCGUUGUUCGGAAUUAUUGGGCGUAAAGGGCAUGUAGGCGGUUCGGUAAGUUAAAGGUGAAAUGCCAGGGCUUAACCCUGGAGCUGCU